UUGGUGCCAAUAUUGAAUAGGCUGAACAACAGGAUAUUUUUUGGGAAGUGAUGUCUGAUGUUUGCAAAUAUAAAUUGCAGUAUGUCACUCCAGAAAAAAUUGCAAACUAUGGUGACAUCCAAGGUAGGGAAAUGCUAUGCAUUUACGGGCUCUGAAGCACUGAAGGAGUUGUUCCUUUUGAGAAAAAAAAGAUUUGGGAUGAGAUGUGGAUGAAUUUGAAGUUUUUGAACGAAUGCAUAAAAGAAAGCAAGGUACUGGAGAGUUUGUGGAUAACAAAUCGGCUCGAGUUAGUGAACAAUAUAAAGAGAGACAAAAUGUUGAUGAUCAGUCUACUCAGUCUUCAUUCAAUCUCAAGUCAUGGUGAUGUAGUGGGCGACUUAUGCAAGGGGAGGGUGUACGGAUUUGGAUGCAAUCAACACUUUAGAAGAUCAUACAAUAGAAGUUCCAAUGAAAUGUGUUCCCAUGAGAAGAACAAGGAAUUAUUUCAAGAAAUUGAAGACGUGCGUGUUACUAGCAAGAGGAUGGAGGAAGCAAUUACUAAAAGCAAAAAUAAAUUGGAACUUGUUAUCAAAGAAAAUAGAUAGAUGGAAGAACAACUUAUCCAGGAAGGUAGGCAAAGAGAAAAAAGUCUAAAGGAGAUGGUUCGAAAAAUGAUUCAAGAGGUGAGAUAUACAAAUCAUUUAUAUCUAAGAGGAUCUGGUCCCCGUGAGUGUUGUGAUAAGUGAAAUAAAGAUUAAAUUACUUUAUCUUUGA